rnacentral:rRNA from 1 species
GACGAACGCUGGCGGCGUGCCUAAUACAUGCAAGUAGAACGCACAGUUUAUACCGUAGCUUGCUACACCAUAGACUGUGAGUUGCGAACGGGUGAGUAACGCGUAGGUAACCUGCCUGGUAGCGGGGGAUAACUAUUGGAAACGAUAGCUAAUACCGCAUAAUAUUGAUUAUUGCAUGAUAAUUGAUUGAAAGAUGCUAUUGCAUCACUACCAGAUGGACCUGCGUUGUAUUAGCUAGUAGGUGAGGUAACGGCUCACCUAGGCGACGAUACAUAGCCGACAUGAGAGGGUGAUCGGCCACACUGGGACUGAGACACGGCCCAGACUCCUACGGGAGGCAGCAGUAGGGAAUCUUCGGCAAUGGACGAAAGUCUGACCGAGCAACGCCGCGUGAGUGAAGAAGGUUUUCGGAUCGUAAAGCUCUGUUGUAAGAGAAGAACGGGUGUGAGAGUGGAAAGUUCACACUGUGACGGUAUCUUACCAGAAAGGGACGGCUAACUACGUG